AACGAACGCUGGCGGCAUGCCUAACACAUGCAAGUCGAACGAGACCUUCCGGCCUUGUGGCGCACGGGUGCGUAACGAGUGGGAAGCUGCCCUUAGGUUCGGAAUAACUCCCCGAAAGGGGUGCUAAUACCGGAUAAUGUCUUCGGACCAAGGAUUUAUCGCGUUUGGAUGGGCCCGCGUUGGAUUAGCUAGUUGGUAGGGUAAUAGCCUGUCAUGGCGAGGAUCCAUAGCUGGUCUGGGAGGAGGAUCAACCACACUUGGAGUGAGGCACGGCCCAGACUGCUACGGGAGGCAGCAGUAUGGAAUAUUAUACGAUGGGGGAAGGCCUGGUCCAGCCAUGCCGCGGGAGUGAUGAAGGGCUUAGGGUUGUAAAUCUCUUUGACCCGGAGUGAGAAUGACAGUACCGGGUGAAGAAGCUCCGGCUAACUCCGUG
rnacentral:rRNA from 1 species